rnacentral:rRNA from 1 species
AUUGAACGCUGGCGGUAGGCCUAACACAUGCAAGUCGAACGGCAGCACAGUAAUAGCUUGCUCUUACGGGUGGCGAGUGGCGGACGGGUGCGGAAUACAUCGGAAUCUACUUUUUCGUGGGGGAUAACGUAGGGAAACUUACGCUAAUACCGCAUACGACCUACGGGUGAAAGCAGGGGAUCUUCGGACCUUGCGCGAUUGAAUGAGCCGAUGUCGGAUUAGCUAGUUGGCGGGGUAAAGGCCCACCAAGGCGACGAUCCGUAACUGGUCUGAGAGGAUGAUCAGUCACACGGGAACUGAGACACGGUCCAGACUCCUACGGGAGGCAGCAGUGGGGAAUAUUGGACAAUGGGCGAAAGCCUGAUCCAGCCAUGCCGCGUGUGUGAAGAAGGUCUUCGGAUUGUAAAGCACUUUAAGUUGGGAGGAAGGGCAGUAAGUUAAUACCUUGCUGUUUUGACGUUACCAACAGAAUAAGCACCGGCUAACUUCGUG